GACGAACCGAGCGAACGUUAUUCGGAAUCACUGGGCUUAAAGGGCGCGUAGGCGGGCCAUCAAGUCAGGGGUGAAAGCCCCCAGCUCAACUGGGGAAGUGCCUUUGAUACUGGUGGUCUCGAGGGGAUAGGGCGUGCGGAACUUCCGGUGGAGCGGUGAAAUGCGUAGAUAUUCGCAAGAACACCAGUGGCGAAGGCGGCUCACUGGCCCGAUACUGACGCUGAGGCACGAAAGCGUGGGGAGCAAACAGG
rnacentral:rRNA from 1 species